GAUUUUAUUUGUUGUUCAUAAUUAAUUCUAAAAGUAUUGGCGGUAUUUAGUUAAAUUCUGAGGAACUUGUCUAUUUAAAUUGAUAAUACUCAUUAAAUUUUAUCUAUAAAUUGUUUUAUGUAUUGCUGUUUAAUUUAUUGUUUAUUAUUUUAAAUAAAUUUAAUUAAUUUUUUUUAAAGAGUUCAAGUCAAAAUGUAGAUUUUAUAGGGUUAGAUGAGUUACGUUUAUAGUGAAAUAUGAGGCUGUAAAUUUUAUUGAAAUAUAAAUGAAUGGAAGGUUGGAUUAGGGAGUAAAAAUAAAUUAAUUA
rnacentral:rRNA from 1 species